UCUUUCUCAACUAACUUCCCAGAACAAUGAUGAAGAUGAUAACAAGAAAAUUUUGCUUGUAAAAAGUUGUAGGAUACCUCUGUAAAUUGGAUUAGUUUUCAGAUAUUCUUUUUCCUCCCUCCUAAUCCCCGUCUGUAAUUCUUGUAAAAUCUGUGUAUCCUCUUACAUGUAUAGCAGAUUGGUGAAAUGGUGAGCAAAACUCUUUCUUAUUCUUUGCUUCUGCAAAAAGGGCAACAUAUCCAGUGUAAUCUCCUUUUGUUUCUGAUAGACCCUUGGAUCAAAGCAACAACAAGAUAAUAGAAAAACCAAAUCAAAAGCAACAUCAUCAGGUAUUCAUAGAAAUCUAAGAAUAUGGAAAUAUAACAAUAAGGCAACUAAUACUGAAAUGAAAGGAAAGACGCUCGACUGCCUACUAUCCUUUUACCCUAAUUCUCGACCUCCACACCCUCCUAUGAAGAGUUAUGUCCUCGGUUGGCUGAAGAUGCGCAACGUCCUGCCUAAUCACCUCUAUUCGGUAUUACCUCGGCCUCUCUUCAGAACCCACCAUCGUCAAUCUUUCACACUUCCUCACUGGGGCAUCGGGACAUCUCCUCUUCGCAUACCCGAACCAUCUUUGCAUCGCUUUCCGAAUCUUGUCCACCACGGAAGCCACACCUACCUUGCCCCGAAUAUCUUCAUUCCUGAUCAUAUCUCUCUUAGUAUGCCCAUAUUAUUCACUGCUUCUAUGACUGAAUAUUUUACUGACUUUUUAACUGAGCUUAAUCUUGAAACUUAAAGUUUUGUCAAAUGUUAUCCUGGACUUCCCCACAAGCUGUAUUAGCUAAGGUAUUUUAUCAUAUAUUUUUAAUUAUUUGCAGUCAGUAUUUGAAAACUCAAGAUUAAUUACGUGUGGAAUUUAUGUUAUUCCAGUUAAUGUGAAUAUACUUAGUAUACUUAAUUAAGGUUUAAGGGGCGUGCCUUCUAUCAUCCUUCCUUUGCAAAUUUAGUACUUUCAGAUAAUUAGGUAUAAUGAUAUAUGCAUAAGAGCUGCUGGUUUCAAAUUGACCAUUAUGUAAGGGAAGAGUUCGAUCAUCUUAUUGUUUUUUCUUAAAGAUCCCAAGUUCUUGGUACGAAAGAAUGAGUAAUGAGGAGUUUAAAAACCAAAAAAAAUAAAAAAAAA
rnacentral:lncRNA from 1 species